UACGUAGGGGGCUAGCGUUGUCCGGAAUCAUUGGGCGUAAAGCGCGUGUAGGCGGUCCGGUAAGUCCGCUGUGAAAGUCGGGGGCUCAACCCUCGGAUGCCGGUGGAGUACUGUCGGGCUUGAGUACGGAAGAGGCGAGUGGAAUUCCUGGUGUAGCGGUGAAAUGCGCAGAGUAUCAAGGAGGAACACCAAUUGCGAAGGCAGCUCGCUGGGACGUUACUGACGCUGAGGUGCGAAAGCGUGGGGAGCAAACAGGA
rnacentral:rRNA from 1 species